rnacentral:rRNA from 1 species
GAGUUUGAUCUUGGCUCAGAUUGAACGCUGGCGGCAUGCCUUACACAUGCAAGUCGAACGGCAGCAUGAUCUGGCUUGCUAGAUUGAUGGCGAGUGGCGAACGGGUGAGUAAUACAUCGGGACGUGCCCUGUAGUGGGGAUAACUAGUCGAAAGAUUAGCUAAUACCGCAUACGACCUGAGGGUGAAAGUGGGGGACCGCAAGGCCUCAUGCUAUAGGAGCGGCCGAUGUCUGAUUAGCUAGUUGGUGGGGUAAAGGCCCACCAAGGCGACGAUCAGUAGCUGGUCUGAGAGGACGAUCAGCCACACUGGGACUGAGACACGGCCCAGACUCCUACGGGAGGCAGCAGUGGGGAAUUUUGGACAAUGGGCGAAAGCCUGAUCCAGCAAUGCCGCGUGUGUGAAGAAGGCCUGG